rnacentral:rRNA from 1 species
GCACUUCGGGAUAAGCCUGGGAAACUGGGUCUAAUACCGAAUAGGACCAUUUAGCGCAUGCUUUAUGGUGGAAAGCUUNUGCGGUGUGGGAUGGGCCCGCGGCCUAUCAGCUUGUUGGUGGGGUGACGGCCUACCAAGGCGACGACGGGUAGCCGGCCUGAGAGGGUGUCCGGCCACACUGGGACUGAGAUACGGCCCAGACUCCUACGGGAGGCAGCAGUGGGGAAUAUUGCACAAUGGGCGCAAGCCUGAUGCAGCGACGCCGCGUGGGGGAUGACGGCCUUCGGGUUGUAAACCUCUUUCAGCAGGGACGAAGCGCAAGUGACGGUACCUGCAGAAGAAGCACCGGCCAACUACGUGCCAGCAGCCGCGGUAAUACGUAGGGUGCGAGCGUUGUCCGGAAUUACUGGGCGUAAAGAGCUCGUAGGUGGUUUGUCGCGUUGUUCGUGAAAUCUCACGGCUUAACUGUGAGCGUGCGGGCGAUACGGGCAGACUGGAGUACUGCAGGGGAGACUGGAAUUCCUGGUGUAGCGGUGGAAUGCGCAGAUAUCAGGAGGAACACCGGUGGCGAAGGCGGGUCUCUGGGCAGUAACUGACGCUGUGGAGCGAAAGCGUGGGUAGCGAACAGGAUUAGAUACCCUGGUAGUCCACGCCGUAAACGGUGGGUACUAGGUGUGGGUUUCCUU